AUCUGACAGUCCCCAAGUUUUGCUUUUCAAGGUCAUUACUCUGAAUUUAUGUCUCUAUUUGGUUCCACAGUCUUGCGUCUCAAUUCUCACUAGCGUCCUAGGGAAGAAGAUAUUUUCCCUUGCAAGUCUGGUUAUCUGGAACCAUGUUUGGAUUGCAUGCGUUAACGAUUGCUAGGAGAAAUGGCUGCAAAUGGUGGGAAAGGGACUGAAGAACAGAAGAGGAAAGCUAGUGACUGUUUUGGGGACCCAAACAUGUCAAGUUCACCAAGAAUGCGAAAAUCUACAAGGAAGGAUAGCUUUUUGAAUGGCAAUAAUAUUGGUAAUGAGGAUAAGCAUUUGGAUAGGUGCCUUGGUUCCUUGGCUGGAUCUGGACCUCGUGGUGCUAGUUUUUGUUCUACAGCAAGCAAUGGGCAUGUUGCUGAUGAGUUAACUUUUAGAAAUUAUAGGAACCCAAAUUCAGUUUUUGUUGGCCACACACUUAGUUCCAGACUACCUCAGAUAAACCAAUUGGGUAAUGAAUCUGGAUAUAUGAACUCUAGUAGAGAAAUUGUAACAAACGAUGAAGAAAAUAUAUCCAAUAGGCUAAGCAAGGAAAUUAAAGGAAACGAUUCUAAUUUUUGGAGCUUGAAGUCUUUGUCCAGUAAGAAAAUGAAUUAUGACCCGGAAAAUAUUGCUGAAAAUAUAGGAAAAGGGGACAAGACAAGCACCUUAAGCAAUGCACUUCUUGUUAGCUCUGCAAUGCAGGAAACUUCGUCUACGUACAAUUUUUCUCCCUUGGUACUGAAACAAAAACUGAAAGGAAAGGGUGUUAUCUGCAAAGAUGCUGCAGAUAACAGUGUCAAGCCCCAUGGAGCAUUUAUUGGCCAGGAGGACAAAACACCUGCCUUUAUGGCUAAAUCUUAUCCUGAUACAUUGCUCAGAACUAAUGCUGCUGCCGAUGAUAAGCCUUUGCAAAAAUUUGUCAUGUCCUGUGCAGACUCUUCUGAUGAUGGGAUCAACCUAAGAGAGUGGUUGAUUUCUUCUGGUCAUAAAAUUAAUAAACAAGGAAGACUUCAUAUUUUCAAACAAAUCCUGGAAUUUGUUGAUUUUGCACACUCCCAGGGAAUUGUAUUGCAAGACUUAAGACCCUCUUGUUUCACUUUAUUGCCUUCAAGUAAAGUUAUGUACACUAGUUCAUUAGUCCAAGGAGAGUUAUAUAAUGUCCCAGCGUGUAACAUGACUAGGAAAAGACCUAUGGAAGAAGGUUUCUGUUCAUGCCUUAGUUUGGGUGCAAAGCAGCAAAAGCUCCACAAGGAGAUAAGAUCUAUUAGGCAGCAGCAUUGCUUUAGAUCUAUGUGUGUCUGCAGCACUAAACCAGUGAAUCUUAUUGAUUCCUACACAAUUGGAUCAAUGAGUCCAAGAAUUACAGAAAGUGUGCACCAAAACAGUUUUAAAUGCCAACAAUUUACAGAUGAAAAGCAAAUAAUUGAUGUGACUACCCAGUUGGAAGAGGAGUGGUAUUCUAGUUCGGAAUUGCUCAAUGAUGGAGGCUGCACAUUUUCAUCCAAUAUUUAUGGCCUUGGGGUUCUGCUCUUUGAGUUGCUGUGCAAUAUUGAGUCAUGGGAGACACAUUCAGAAAUGAUGUCGGAUCUGCAUCAGCGAAUCCUGCCACCAAAAUUUCUAUCUGAGAAUCCAAAGGAAGCUGGAUUUUGUCUUUGGCUUUUGCAUCCUGAACCUUCUUCUCGUCCCAAUACAAGGAUGAUUUCAGAAUCUGAAAUAUUCCGUGAUUUAGUGGAACUGAAUUCUCAAGAUGAUAUCUUGGUACGUGAUGAUGAAGAAGCUGAAACAGAGCAACUGGUAUAUUUUUUAACUUCACUUAGAGAAGAAAAGCAAAAGCAGACUGCCAAAUUAGCUGAAGAGCUAAGUUGCUUAGAAGAAGAUAUUAAAGAGGUUGAAAGAAGGUAUUCACUUGGGACAGAUUCUUUAUUUCCUAUGGCAAAAAAUGGCGUUUCUAAAUUCAGUAGAAACAGUUCUCAUCUUCAAGAUCCUUUCAGUUCGGAUAUUAGCAGAUCAAUUCCAGCAUCAUGUGUUAAUGAAGCAAGAUUUAUGAGAAAUAUCAAUCAGCUAGAGACUGCAUACUUCUCCGUGAGAUCCUGGAUCCUGCUUACAGAAGAUGCAGCUGUUGCACCCUAUGAUAAAGAUGUGCUAAAAAGUAGAUGGAGAUCAUCUCAAGGACAUAAUGACAAUGAGGAACAAAGAACAAAAUGGAAAUCCGAUGAUCGUCUUGGAUCCUUCUUUGAAGGUUUAUGCAAGUUUGCUCGUUACAGCAAGUUUGAAGAGUGUGGCAUAUUAAGAAGUCAGGAUCUUCUUAGUUCUUCCAAUGUAAUAUGUGCAUUAAGUUUUGACCGUGAUGAGGACUACAUUGCAGCUGCUGGAGUUUCCAAAAAAAUAAAAAUUUUUGAUGUCAGUGCAAUUUUGAGCAAUUCUAUUGACAUCCAGUACCCCAUAGUUGAGAUGUCUAAUAAAUCAAAGCUUAGCUGUGUGUGCUGGAACAGCUAUAUCAAAAGCCAUUUGGCAUCUACUGAUUAUGAUGGUGUAGUUCAGAUGUGGGAUGCAGACACUGGUCAGCCCUUUUCUCGAUACACGGAACACCAAAGGAGGGCAUGGUCCAUUCACUUCUCUCAGUCUGACCCUAAAAUGUUUGCUAGUGGAAGUGAUGACUGCUCUGUGAAACUAUGGAACAUCAGCGAGAGAAACUCCAUUGGCACCAUAUGGAACCCCGCCAAUGUAUGCUGUCUUCAGUUCUCUUCUUACUCGACAAAUCUUUUGGUUUUUGGAUCGGCUGAUUACAAAAUCUAUGGUUAUGAUCUUCGACACACUAGAAUUCCUUGGUGCACAUUAUCUGGUCACGGGAAAGCUGUUAGCUAUGUAAAGUUUUUGGAUUCUGAAACACUUGCCUCAGCUUCCACAGACAACUCUUUGAAGCUUUGGGACCUGAAGAAAACCAGCUCUUCGGGGUUGUCAUCUGGUGCAUGUAGCUUAACCUUUAAAGGCCAUACUAAUGAAAAGAAUUUUGUGGGUUUGUCUGCCUUUGAUGGAUACAUUGCAUGUGGUUCAGAAACUAAUGAGGUAUACUGUUAUCACAGAUCUCUGCCAGUGCCUAUCACUUCUUACAAAUUUGGAUCCAUUGAUCCCAUUUCUGGACAAGAAAAUAAUGAUGAUGGUAAUGGACAGUUUGUUUCUAGUGUCUGCUGGAGAAAGAAGUCCAGUGUGCUUGUUGCUGCAAACUCAAUUGGAGCUGUAAAACUAUUGAAGAUGGUCUGGUAGGAAGUCAGGAAACAUGACAAAUGAUUGUCACUAAAUAUUACUGUGUGCUUAUCAGCAGACUGGGAGAAGGCUGAAAUAGGUUCAAAUGGCAUUUGUUCAAAGAAGCAUGUAUGUGGAGUUAGUUUCGGUAUAGUUCAUCCUGUAUGGUGGCCGGUUCACUAUAUGCCAGGAGGAGCAUUCACUCAUCUAAAUCAUAUAAGCUGAUCAAGAAAUAUAUGAAACAUGUGCAUAACAGGCUUGAACUGUACCAAUGCUGAAACUGAAGCCUGGGUCUUUUUAAACAUCGUGACACUACCACUGGUGCAUCUAACUAUUUGAUCACGACAGCACACUGGCCAAAGCAAAAUACAGAAGCUUUUCAUUCAACAAAUUCUCAUCUAUGGCUUAAAUCACCCAUCAACAAGUUGGGAUACCAGGUUGACCUUAAAUGCUUACUUCAUAUUACGAUAAAAAUUCUAGCUCCCAUUCUUCAGCAUCAUCUGAGAAGAAUAUCUUGCUAAAGAUGGAUCAGGAAUAAGAUCUCAAGUUGUCUUGACACAUUUUCUCUUGUACAUAUCCGACUACAGGAGAACUUGGAACAUAGAGCAAUAGAUUGGAUGAGCUCUACCCAUAAGGACAAACUAAUACUAGAAAGGAGCUUCCUAGGAGCUGUAGCUAGAGCUCGACUUCCAUCUUAGCACAUGGAAGCGCAUGAAGAUGAGAAUUAGAGAAGGGGAUUCAAACCAUCUGGAAUGACAGUCUCUCUGUUCAGAAAUAUGAGUCCACCUCAUCCUUCAAUGAGAAGCUUUAUCGUCUACGCUUCUUUUACAUGAUGAGGAUCGCAAAACUAUUUAAGGGCAACAGCUAGAGGGUGUCGAUUCUCACCAUUGGAGGCAUCAUUCACAUGCUCGGUAUUUUUCUUCCAAGACGGUGGCUUCUCCAUUUCAUCAUAUGAGGUAACUAAGUUAUUGAUCUCUCCCUUACGCUCUAAUGCCAUGUUCCACAAUUAAAUUGUAGUUUAUUAUCUGUGCACAAAUGAACUAAAGAUGAACAUUGUCAUGCAAAUUUCCAUGCCACUCGUUGUUCCAAGAUCCA